rnacentral:rRNA from 1 species
AGGGACCUACGGGAGGCAGCAGUAGGGAAUCUUCCACAAUGGGCGAAAGCCUGAUGGAGCAACGCCGCGUGGGCGAAGAAGGUCUUCGGAUCGUAAACCUCUUUUGUCAGGGAGCAAAGGGCGCCACGUGUGGCGUUUUGCGAGUACCUGAAGAAAAAGCAUCGGCUAACUCCGUGCCAGCAGCCGCGGUAAUACGGAGGAUGCGAGCGUUAUCCGGAUUUAUUGGGUUUAAAGGGUGCGCAGGCGGAAUGUCAAGCCAGCGGUAAAAUUUCGGGGCUCAACCCCGUCGUGCCGUUGAAACUGGC